UGAUGCAGCCAUGCCGCGUGUGUGAAGAAGGCCUUCGGGUUGUAAAGCACUUUCAGGUAGGGAGGAAGGUAGUGUAGUUAACACUGCAUUAUUUGACGUUACCUACAGAAGAAGCACCGGCUAACUCCGUGCCAGCAGCCGCGGUAAUACGGAGGGUGCGAGCGUUAAUCGGAAUUACUGGGACGUAAAGCGCAUGCAGGCGGCCUGUUAAGUCAGAUGUGAAAGCCCCGGGGCUUAACCUCGGAAUUGCAUUUGAAACUGGCAGGCUAGAGUCUUGUAGAGGGGGUAGAAUUUCAGGUGUAGCGGUGAAAUGCGUAGAGAUCUGAAGGAAUACCAGUGGCGAAGGCGGCCCCCUGGACAAAGACUGACGCUCAGAUGCGAAAGCGUGGGGAGCAAACAGGAUUAGAUACCCUGGUAG
rnacentral:rRNA from 1 species